GCUGUCCAGUCUGCUUGGCCACACGCAGCCUGCCGCAAGCGAAACUUGCGUUGCCUCUGACUUCUGCCGCGACGUUCUCGCGUCCCUCUGCAGCUGUUUCCGAUUGCGCCACCUCUAGCGAGCAAACAGCGGAGCAUCAUCGACGUAGAAGACCUGUGAUGGCGUCCGCCUAGAGCGGCGGCCGAUCGUGUGGCGAAGGAGGCAGCUCUUGGGCGGAGGCUCGUCUGCAGUAUGGCGACGGCGGCGGCGGCGGCGGCGAUGACGCGGACGCGAACGCGGAGGCGGCGGUGGCGGCCGCAGUGGUGCGCCGCGCUGGUGUCGCUGCUGGUGCUGGUGGCG